UACGUAGGGUGCGAGCGUUGCCCGGAUUUAUUGGGCGUAAAGGGCGCGUAGGCGGCCACGUGCGUCCGUUGUGAAAUCGCCCGGCUCAACUGGGCGGGGUCAGCGGAUACGGCGUGGCUGGAGCAAGCUAGGGGGCAAUGGAAUUCCCGGUGUAGUGGUGGAAUGCGUAGAUAUCGGGAGGAACACCAGUGGCGAAGGCGGUUGCCUGGAGCUUUGCUGACGCUGAUGCGCGAAAGCUAGGGGAGCAAACAGGG
rnacentral:rRNA from 1 species